GACAAGUCCCCCUAAAAUCCAGCUGAUUUCUCUGCUAUGGCAUCCUUAUUACCAAUACUCAUUGUGCUGGCUUCCUUCACUUUAUGUGCUCACUCACAGCAGAUUGUCGUGACCCAGUCCAAUGAUCCGGUGGUGAAAAAACCUGGAGAAUCUCAUAAACUGACUUGUGCAGUCACUGGAUUUGAUAUUAACAGCUAUUAUAUGGGAUGGGUCCGGCAGAAACCUGGCACAGGCUUGGAAUGGCUUGUUAGCUACUACGCUUCUAGUAGCAAUUAUUAUUCGCCUACAAUCCAAGGGCGGUUUACGGCUUCCAAGGACAGCUCCAACUUUUACUUGCAGAUGAACAGUCUGAAAGCAGAUGACACAGCCAUAUAUUACUGUGCAAGACGCACAUCAGAGUCAGUGGUGAGAAAACCGGGAGAAUCCUAUAAACUGACUUGUGUGGUCACAGGAUUCAAUGUUAACAGCUGCGUUGUGGAGUGGGUCCAGCAGAAACCAGGGAAAGGCCUGGAAUGGCUUGUUGAGUACUAUGCUGCUGGAACCAGUUGCUAUUCCUCUGCAAUCUGA